CGCGCAGGCGGCUUGGCCAGUCUGGUGUGAAAGCGCUACCGCUCAACGGAGCGAGUGCACUGGAUACUGCCAAACUUGAGUGCAGAAGAGGUAAGCGGAAUACCUGGUGUAGCGGUGGAAUGCUUAGAGAUCAGGUAGAACAUCUGUGGCGAAGGCGGCUUACUGGUCUGCAACUGACGCUGAGGCGCGAAAGCGUGGGGAGCGAACG
rnacentral:rRNA from 1 species